rnacentral:rRNA from 1 species
GACGGAGGGUGCUAGCGUUGUUCGGAAUUACUGGGCGUAAAGGGCGCGUAGGCGGCCUUUCAAGUCGGGUGUGAAAGCCCGGGGCUCAACCCCGGAACGGCACCCGAGACUGGGAGGCUAGAGACCGGAAGAGGUGGGUGGAAUACCCAGUGUAGAGGUGAAAUUCGUAGAUAUUGGGUGGAACACCGGUGGCGAAAGCGGCUCACUGGUCCGGUUCUGACGCUGAGGCGCGAAAGCGUGGGGAGCAAACAGG